rnacentral:rRNA from 1 species
GACGAACGCUGGCGGCGUGCUUAACACAUGCAAGUCGAACGGUGACGAGGAGCUUGCUCCUCUGAUCAGUGGCGAACGGGUGAGUAACACGUGAGCAACCUGCCCCAGACUCUGGGAUAACAGUUGGAAACAGCUGCUAAUACCGGAUACGAGACGGAGAGGCAUCUCUACCGUCUGGAAAGUUUUUUCGGUCUGGGAUGGACUCGCGGCCUAUCAGCUAGUUGGUGAGGUAAUGGCUCACCAAGGCGACGACGGGUAGCCGGCCUGAGAGGGCGACCGGCCACACUGGGACUGAGAUACGGCCCAGACUCCUACGGGAGGCAGCAGUUGGGAAUCUUAGGCAAUGGACGAAAGUCUGACCUAGCGACGCCGCGUGAGGGAAGAAGGCCUUCGGGUUGGUAAACCUCUGUCAUGGGGGAAGAAGUAAGUGACGGUACCCCAAGAGGAAGACCCCUGCGUAACUACGUGCCAGCAGUCCGCGGUAAGAGUACUCUAU